rnacentral:rRNA from 1 species
AGUGAACGCUGGCGGUAGGCCUAACACAUGCAAGUCGAACGGCAGCACAGUAAGAGCUUGCUCUUACGGGUGGCGAGUGGCGGACGGGUGAGGAAUACAUCGGAAUCUACUUUUUCGUGGGGGAUAACGUAGGGAAACUUACGCUAAUACCGCAUACGACCUACGGGUGAAAGCAGGGGAUCUUCGGACCUUGCGCGAUUGAAUGAGCCGAUGUCGGAUUAGCUAGUUGGCGGGGUAAAGGCCCACCAAGGCGACGAUCCGUAGCUGGUCUGAGAGGAUGAUCAGCCACACUGGAACUGAGAAACGGUCCAGACUCCUACGGGAGGCAGCAGUGGGGAAUAUUGGACAAUGGGCGCAAGCCUGAUCCAGCCAUACCGCGUGGGUGAAGAAGGCCUCCGGGUUGUAAAGCCCUUUUGUUGGGAAAGAAAAGCAGCAGGUUAAUACCCCGCUGUUCUGACGGUACCCAAAGAAUAAGCACCGGCUAACUUCGU